GAUGAACGCUAGCUACAGGCUUAACACAUGCAAGUCGAGGGGAAACGAUAUUGGAAGCUUGCUUCCGAUAGGCGUCGACCGGCGCACGGGUGAGUAACGCGUAUCCAACCUGCCCAUCACUUGGGGAUAACCUUGCGAAAGUAAGACUAAUACCCAAUGACGUCUCUAGAAGACAUCUGAAAGAGAUUAAAGAUUUAUCGGUGAUGGAUGGGGAUGCGUCUGAUUAGCUUGUUGGCGGGGUAACGGCCCACCAAGGCGACGAUCAGUAGGGGUUCUGAGAGGAAGGUCCCCCACAUUGGAACUGAGCACGGUCCAAACUCCUACGGGAGGCAGCAGUGAGGAAUAUUGGUCAAUGGACGAGAGUCUGAACCAGCCAAGUAGCGUGCAGGAAGACGGCCCUAUCGGGUUGUAAACUGCUUUUAUAAGGGAAUAAAGUGAGUCUCGUGAGACUUUUU
rnacentral:rRNA from 1 species